AAUUUGCAUGUCUGUUAAUCCCUUUGUCGGAUGUAUUUCUUAUUAGAAGACCUAAGUCAGAAGCUAACUUGUUCGGUUGCUUAGAGAUAGCUACUCUAUAGCUAACUAUCCUUCUAGCUAACAUUAGCUUCUCCACCAAUGAAGUUUAAAUGAUUUUCAUUUUACAGGAUAUUUAGUCAAUCUGUUCAAAUCAGUUUUGUUUGAGAACUGAAGUAUGACUUCUUUGCACGUUUGCAUUUCAGAGUACAUCAUUUCAGCUCCCACGUAGAAAUGAUGUAGGCUGCCAAACUGAUGAUCGUAGUGUAUCAUCCCAGGGAACACAGUUGUCCUCCUUGAGACUUCACCUCUGAAGCAAAGCUGCAUAUCGUAUGGGGACACUUCGUUCAUAGUUUUUGAAAAAUGCCUCCAGACUGUACUUGUCCUGUCCGACGACACAGAGGACCUUCUUAGCCGUCGACCACCUGUGCCCUCACAGUGUUUCAGGCAGUGCAGCUGAGAGCACAUACAUAUGCCCCUUGAAGAAGGCAUGUCAGGACAGACAUUGAAUCUGCUAUUGUCCACCACUAGAAUGGGGAGCAAGAAGAGACGCUUCA
rnacentral:lncRNA from 1 species